rnacentral:misc_RNA from 1 species
AGAGCAAAAGAGUUUUAGGGUUUGCGUUGUUCAUACCGGAAGCUUCAAAGAUGAUCGAGGUAGUGUUGAACGAUCGAUUGGGGAAGAAAGUGAAGGUGAAGUGCAACGAAGAUGAUACGAUUGGUGAUUUGAAGAAGCUGGUUGCUGCACAGACGGGUACACGCGCCGAUAAGAUACGUAUUCAGAAGUGGUAUAAUGUGUACAAAGAUCAUAUUACCCUCAAGGACUACGAAAUUCAUGAUGGAAUGGGACUUGAACUCUACUACAACUAGAAUAAAAUGUUUAUCAUGUGAUGGAAAUACACUGGUGGACGUAUCUCAGCUGCCAUGUUUUAAAUAAAAGAUUGAUUGUUGGCUUGUAAUGUAAAGUUUGACAUGUUAAAUCAACUUGAAGGAAAAUGCUCAACUCUUGUGAAUGGCAUGUGUCUGGUUGGUAUUUUGCCUUGUGGUACAAGGGGUUUACAUAUGCCAUAUGUGCUCUUAGAUUUUCUUAUCAAUUUUAUGAAUUUUGCUGUGAAAUCAUUCCUUCAUAAAAAAAAAUUGAGGGGGGUAUAUGUGCUCUAAAUUACCAAGUUGAGGGGUAUAAUUGCCCUCUAGAACUUGUUAUAAAUGUGUAUUUCUUUAGCAUCCUUAAAG